UUGGCCUCGGAUCAGGC
rnacentral:rRNA from 1 species